ensembl:lncRNA
AUUUUUUAGAAGCAGCUCCACCGAGUGAUCUGUCUCUUUCCUCCCAUUUCAGCCCAUCCCAGCGCUCACUGGUGGCACUGGAGAAGUACCAGCAGGUACAGCCGGACUGGACUCCUGGGAUACUCUGAAGAGACAGAGAGACAGUCACCAUUUUAAUGAUGCUGUCAGUAGGUGAAGCGGGUUACAGGACUGUAAAUCUAAAUUUUGCAGGAAGCAACCAAGCAAGCAAUUGCAUCGUAGAAAAUGAGCAAAACCUGAAAACGAUCGAGUCUUCAAAUCAGAGAGGAAACCUUCUCAGCUGCCUUGAGAUCUGUGCCACUUGUGUCCACCUGGAACUGGCUGAGGACUCCUCUGCCGUGUCUGUGCUGGUGCUGCCCAUGCAGCCAGCCCCAUGCCUGACCAGCUGUGAGUUUCUGAGUUCCUACAUGGAUGAGCUGCUACGUGGAGAGCCAAUGUCUUGGAACAAGGAUGUGCUGCUCCUCCUGAUGUUGAUGCAGUUGCCAGCCCCAGAAAACCUGUACACAGGUAAAGUAAUGCAGUUAUCCACUACCGUGGGUUACGCUGUCAUUCUGUAUUAAGACAAAUUAGUGUACUCGGAAGCGAUCAGAAGUAAUUACUCUUUAAGAAACAAUAGGCAUCACUCUGUGGCUUCUAUCUGACAGCUAAAGAACUUGGCUUCCUGUGAAAAACCCAUACAGCUUAAUCUUCGUGUGUCAGAUCAUAUUUCUCUGUCUUCUCUUGGUAAAUGUUUACAUUGCUGCAGCAAAAGGGGCACUGUGUGAUCUUGACUAACAGGGAACUUGUGUGCUUAGAGAUAGUAAUGGGAUCCAGUAUCUGCCUGCUAUCUCUCUCAAGAUGAACACGAGGAGGGUUUGUAGGUACAGUAUAGUAGCACCGCAGGGGCUUAAGUGGUCCCACUCAGGACUAAAUCCUGGAUCCAUGAAACCACCUCCUGCUUCUACAUGAGCUGACACUGCAGUAAAACAGUGAUAGGAAAUGAAAAAAUAACGAAUGAGCUCAGAGACCUGACUGUUCUUUUGCUAUUCAGGUAAGAAUGUGAAUGAUGUUUCAUCUGGUUCACUUGAGGAGUGUAAAUAUUUGCACUGUAUCCAGCUUCUGCCACCCACCCUCACUGCUGCAUUUUCAUGCCCAUCACCUGCCUGUCGUUUUUAGAUGUUCCCUUAAGAUCAAACCCUUCCUGAAGGCUCCAAUGGGAUCUUUGAAAUGUUACAGAAAUCUGAAGUCAGUGUGUGAGUAGAGCCUGUUUUAUAUUCUCUGGGAGGAAGUAUGGGAUCCAUCUCAAUGAAGAUUGUGCAAAAUAGCAGCAGACUGAGAUGCAGGUGAGCUCCAUACUUGUAGUGCUUAUCGAGCAUGUCUCUUUCUCAGGUUGUAGGAUUCUGAAUUUCAGAUCUUGGCCAAUAUUACCUCUGUACUUCCUUUUAAUUUUGCUUUCAUCACCAGUGCUGCCCUCAGAGGGUUGUUCCAGCCUUUUACAACUUACAUUUGUGGUAGGCUGUGGAAAUGGAAAACUAAGUAACAACAGUGAUCUCAUGGUUAACACAGGCAGUGUAUAGGAAAUCUGCAUUCAGUUCCUGGCUUUGUUUUGGAUGUCCUGUGUAACUGAAUACAUAGUUUAUGUUCACCUCAGUUCUCCUUCCAUCAUAUAUAACCAUCAGAAGGUGAUUGUGAGGAUGUAUUCACUGGUGAGGGACUGAAGCAUUCCACGUUAAUGGGUAUUAGAAGACAAAAUAGCAGUAGGACAGUUAAAGCCUGUUCUGUAACUGGGUUUUGCUGUAUCUGUGAGGGAUAACAUUGAGACAUGACUGUUAAGAUGGGUCUCUUUCAUCAGAAUAAACUUUGGUUGGCCUUAAUUAGUCUCUAGGAG